rnacentral:rRNA from 1 species
AAUGAACGCUGGCGGCAGGCCUAACACAUGCAAGUCGAACGGAUCCUUCGGGAUUAGUGGCGGACGGGUGAGUAACGCGUGGGAACAUACCCUUUGGUACGGAAUAGCCUCGGGAAACUGGGAGUAAUACCGUAUGUGGUCGAGAGACGAAAGAUUUAUCGCCAAAGGAUUGGCCCGCGUUGGAUUAGGUAGUUGGUGGGGUAAUGGCCUACCAAGCCGACGAUCCAUAGCUGGUUUGAGAGGAUGAUCAGCCACACUGGGACUGAGACACGGCCCAGACUCCUACGGGAGGCAGCAGGGGGGAAUCUUAGAAAAUGGGGGAAACCCUGAUCUAGCAAUGCCGCGUGAUGGAUGAAGGCCUUAGGGUUGUAAAGAUCUUUCAGGUGGGAAGAUAAUGACUGUACCACCAGAAGAAGCCCCGGCUAACUCCGUGCCAGCAGCCGCCGUAA